rnacentral:rRNA from 1 species
CGAGUGGCGGACGGGUGAGUAAUGUCUGGGAAACUGCCCGAUGGAGGGGGGUAACUACUGGAAACGGUAGCUAAUACCGCAUAACGUCGCAAGACCAAAGAGGGGGACCUUCGGGCCUCUUGCCAUCGGAUGUGCCCAGAUGGGAUUAGCUAGUAGGUGGGGUAACGGCUCACCUAGGCGACGAUCCCUAGCUGGUCUGAGAGGAUGACCAGCCACACUGGAACUGAGACACGGUCCAG